rnacentral:rRNA from 1 species
GACAGAGGAUCGACAGCUGUUGGUCGAUUCACUGGGCGUAAAGGGUGCGUAGGCGGUCGGGUAAGUCUGAUGUGAAAUCUCACAGCUUAACUGUGAAACUGCAUUGGAUACUAUCCGGCUCGAGGAAUGGAGGGGAGACUGGAAUACUUGGUGUAGCAGUGAAAUGCGUAGAUAUCAAGUGGAACACCAGUGGCGAAGGCGAGUCUCUGGACAUUUCCUGACGCUGAGGCACGAAAGCCAGGGGAGCAAACGGG